rnacentral:rRNA from 1 species
UCAGUAGUUGGUCUGAGAGGAUGAAGCCACAUUGGGACUGAGACACGGCCCAAACUCCUACGGGAGGCAGCAGUGGGGAAUAGGACAAUGGGCGCAAGCCUGAUCCAGCCAUGCCGCGUGAGUGAUGAAGGCCCUAGGGUUAAAGCUCUUUUGUGCGGGAAGAUAAUGACGGUACCGCAAGAAUAAGCCCCGGCUAACCGUGCCAGCAGCCGCGGUAAUACGAAGGGGGCUAGCGUUGCUCGGAAUCACUGGGCGUAGGGUGCGUAGGCGGGUCUUUAAGUCAGGGGUGAAAUCCUGGAGCUCAACUCCAGAACCCUUUGAUACUGAAGAUCUUGAGUUCGGGAGAGGUGAGUGGAACUGCGAGUGUAGAGGAAAUUCGUAGAUAUUCGCAAGAACACCAGUGGCGAAGGCGGCUCACUGGCCCGAUACUCGCUGAGGCACGAAAGCGUGGGGAGCAAACAGGAUUAGAUACCCUGGUAGUCCACGCCAAACGAUGAAUGCCAGCCGUUGGGAAGUUUACUUCUCAGUGGCGCAGCUAACGCUUAA